GAGAGAGGCACGCAGCAACAAAGACUGCUAAUCUUUGCCCCUCAGGUUGGACCCCUGAGCUCACUCG
rnacentral:tRNA from 1 species